UUUAACAUGGAGAGUUUGAUCCUGGCUCAGGAUGAACGCUGGCGGUAUGCUUAACACAUGCAAGUCGAACGGGCUCUUUCGGGAGCUAGUGGCGGACGGGUGAGUAACGCGUGAGA
rnacentral:rRNA from 1 species